UACUACCCAUACGACUUCUCCCAGCAAAGGAUAAUGACAAACAUCCCUCCUAUGACAAACGCCCCUCAGAUGCCACAUGGGCUGCCAUUUGACUUCCCCCCUCAAAAUAUUCCCC